UUUGAAGACGUAUGACCUUGUGUAUCUCGUACACAAGGUAAUUGUAUCUUUGUGAUUACAGCGAAAUGAACUCUAAUUAUUUCUCUAACCCUCCAACGUUGUAUAUGCAAAUUAAGGAACCAUGGGAAAUUGGCCCUCGGCCCGCGCGACCUCUGCGCGCCCCGGAGGGCGCGAGCCUCACACUCGGUCACGUGGCGCGCGCGGCCGCGCUCCUCUUCCCCGCCGUCCCAGCUGGGCCCCCAGGGGUCGCACGCGGGGUUCCACCGAAAACCGGGCGGCACGGUGUCCCCGAAACUAUGCGGGGCGGCGCGUGCGCGGCGCCAGCACAUUUUGGGGGACAAGAGGCGGUGAUGCGCACGGGGGCCCCACAGAAAUCGGGUCGGGCCGUCCCCGCGGCAGGACCCGUGACCCUGGCGAGAGCUGGAAACGCCGGUCGUGCACCGGAAGGGGCCGGGCAGGGUGGCCCGGGGCCGCAGCGCGGAGGAGUGGUUCACGGUGCGCCGCUGCUUCCCCUGGGGUGGUCGGGCCCUGCGCCCCGUGCUUGAAGCCAAGGGCAAGGGGGUGAGCGUCCGCUUGGGGCCAACGCUUUCCGUAGUGUGACUCGAGGUGUGGCAGACCGGGAAAGGUCGCCAGGCUUUGGUCCAGCACUGGGCCGGGCCCCUUAGCUGACCCGUGUCCUUCCCCUCAUUUCCACGUUAGAAAACAAGCUCUAGUUGGUUAAUCAAGGCCAAAAUUAGCCUGCCAGUCGUGAAAGAAGUUGGGAUUUGCAGGCAAGUCUGGUUUCAAAAACCGAUCUUUUCCUCUCCACAGUGGAACUCGAGCGAGGAAAGAUUUGGGACCAGGAGUGCGGCCUCCCCUUUUGGACAAUGCUCCCAAGGCCUUAUCGGCUCAGACUUUCCUUCCUGCCCUAGUUCCCUCACCACACAGCAAGCAUCUGUGACGUCAGCGCCGGGGCUGCAGGGCCAACAAGAAGUGGUUUGUGUUGCUGUGGCCGUUAGGUUCCAGCGAGGGAGCCAAGCAAACGUGGAAGAGCAUUCUCAGUGCUGAGAGGGACUAGAAGGGAAGAACAUGGGGUGUAGACAGUGACUGGGGAAUGAAGGUGGGCAGGAGGGAAGGGGACAUUUGAACUGUCGCUCCAUACGGAUGCAACCCUGAGAGGACCUGACAGACAGUGCCAGGCAGAAGAUGACCUGGGAGCUACCUGAGUCAGUGUCACCCAUCUGGGCAAGUCCUUCAGGCAGGAGAAGCCACUGUGGAGAGCAUCAAGAAAGGGGAAGGGAAGUAAUAUUUGCUAAGAGCAUGUAGGAGUCCAGGGACCAUGCUGGACAUCUGCACAUGAUCUCAUUCAGUUAUCAUAACCCUGUGUGGGCAGCAGAGCAACAGGCCAGAGCUGGCCUUCUCUGAGCAAGACUUGCCCAUUCAGCAAGCACUUUUUGGCCUCCACCGUGCUGAUGGAGUGGCAGAGAAUAAAAGAAAGAGAAGACAAUGAAGCCAAUGUAGCUGAGAAGGAGCAUUUCUGAAAUUGGAAGCUGUCCCCUACACCAAACAUGCUAAUAGAGGAAGUGAAAAUUUGGCCUGAAAACUCCAGUUUGAAGAAGG